AUAUACCUGUAAGUCGACACGGAGUCACAAUCCAGAAGACGAUCUCUUGACCGCUGUGAGAAUCUCAAAUCGAAUAUUUUCUGUCCUUCAUCGCUUGUGGUACGAGAAGUGAAAGUGGAUUGAUUUUGGAGAACUUUCGUUUUCGAAUGAGGUCUACCCCAGCAUGAGUCAUACUGGCUGCAUGGACUGAAUCGAGCCCCAGAUGGAGAAAUGUCUGUAGGGCUGUACAAAGAGUAUUCUUUACAUUGGACGAAUAAAAUGGAAUGAAGACUACAACGUACAAAGUUAGUCUUUGUACGGGUGCGGAACUUGGUUCCGCGCCAUAAGGAAAAUGAAAAACACUAACAAUACCAAGGAAAAUAUCUGAAUCAAAGAGAGAGAGAUAAUAACAAGAGCACGGAGAAAAUGACACAACGAGGAGCUUCAUAAUUUGUACUUUUAUUACGAGGGUAAUAAAAUCAAAGUGAUUGAGAUGGGUGAGACAUGUAACACGCCUGAGAAAGUUAUAACUUACACACAGUUUUAUCACAAACUCUGAAAGGAACAGAUCACGCAAGAAGAGACAGAAAGAUAAUUUCAAAUUGGUUCUCGAAUUGUUAGCGUGGAACAUACGAGGGUCUCAGGACAGGAUCCAUUGGCGGAACAUAGUGAACACGGUGAAGUAAUCUGGUUGAUUACCUCGAAAAGUGUAACUUUAACCUUGAAAAUGGAGGUGAUGCGUUCCUCCGAAGACGACGUCACGACCAGGAAUACCACGAUCGACAUCUUGAUCGCCGUGAGAACCUGACAUCAAACUUAUUUUGUGGGUUUCAUGUAGAAGAGCUCGUAUUUUCUCCUUUUAAAGGCGCUGUCCCGUAUUUAUUUGCGCCCGUCGUCAGAACCAGGCACGAGAUGGGAACCACCCCGCGGAAGUUGAGCCUACUUCCUGGAGGGAUUACAGGAAGACCUCUAAACUUCAUGCGUCUCUCUGACAUUGUACACACAAGACCAAUAAAAUACAUUACACCAGAAUAAUGUCAUUACUAAAGAC